GAUGAACGCUAGCUACAGGCUUAACACAUGCAAGUCGAGGGGGAACGACAUCGAAAGCUUGCUUUUGAUGGGCGUCGACCGGCGCACGGGUGAGUAACGCGUAUCCGACCUGCCCAUCACUUGGGGAUAACCUUGCGAAAGUAAGACUAAUACCCAAUGAUAUCUCUAGAAGACAUCUGAAAGAGAUUAAAGAUUUAUCGGUGAUGGAUGGGGAUGCGUCUGAUUAUCUUGUUGGCGGGGUAACGGCCCACCAAGGCGACGAUCAGUAGGGGUUCUGAGAGGAAGGUCCCCCACAUUGGAACUGAGACACGGUCCAAACUCCUACGGGAGGCAGCAGUGAGGAAUAUUGGUCAAUGGGCGAGAGCCUGAACCAGCCAAGUAGCGUGCAGGAAGACGGCCCUAUGGGUUGUAAACUGCUUUUAUAAGGGAAUAAAGUGAGUCUCGUGAGACUUUUUGCAUGUACCUUAUGAAUAAGGACCGGCUAAUUCCGUGCCAGCCGCCGCUGUAA
rnacentral:rRNA from 1 species